UACGUAGGAGGCAAGCGUUGUCCGGAAUUACUGGGCGUAAAGCGCGUGUAGGUGGUGGGACAAGUCUGCUGUGAAAGCGCCUGGCUUAACCGGGCGAGGUCGGCGGAAACUGUCCGACUAGAGGACGGUAGAGGGGGGGUGGAAUUCCUGGUGUAGCGGUGAAAUGCGCAGAUAUCAGGAGGAACACCGGUGGCGAAGGCGGGUCUCUGGGACGGUACUGACGCUGAGACGCGAAAGCGUGGGGAGCGAACAGG
rnacentral:rRNA from 1 species